AUGCCAAAAAUGCUUGGGGCUUCGAUCGGAGAACGUAAAGCCCAUUUUCACAUCUUCCUUGUGCUAUUACCUGCUUCGUUGCUCGAUCCUAAAACAACCAUCAAGUACUGAUCUGGCACCGCUUAAAGUGGCGCAGCUUCGUAUUGAACUAGCUGCAAAGUCAAAACAACUGACGCAGUCCCUUGUCGACAUAUACUUCCUGCACUGAGCCAUUACAUAAACCGUCACCGAAUUUCUUGCAAGUUCUGAGGUUGCAAAGUAAGUGUUAU
rnacentral:lncRNA from 1 species